UCUGGGGCACUGAGGUGUAGGACCUAGCAGGGUAAAAGACCAAACUUUACCGUUUUAUUUUUAUAUUUUUACAACAACAACAGAGAUUCACUUGCCUCUACCUCCUGGGUGCUAAGAUUAAAGAUUAUCCAACUGCCUCUUCAUUCUUCAUCCACACUCCUCCUUUGGCUCUGCCUUAGGUGGCUCAUCUUGCCAGACUUCACACUGAACAACUGCCAAGGAUGUUGCAAUGCAUGAGCUGUAUGCAGGUAAGAGGGGUACAUGCCUGUCCUGUAAUUGUCAGAACAUGUCCUCUCUAGAAUGGAGAAUUGCCUUGAGAGGUGAACAUGUGUAGGAGAAAAUGUUAAUCCCAGUCCAGGGUUUCUACCCCACCUUUGACCAUUUAGUUCCUGGAUAAAAGGCACACACAUUAUUACAUUUAUAAUAAGCCUUAAACAGCACAAGAGCCAGGCAGAUAUCUACCCUCUAUGCUAUUAGAACCUACCUUUCUAUCAUAACCCUGAGUUAUUAUUUUCUGUGUCUUGUCUGGACUGCUCUUAAUUCCAAUUGGCCAGCCUUCAUGGCUAUCCUUUCUUGACUUCUAACCCAUGGCAUCUUCAUAUUCCUCAUCUUCCUCCUCCUCCUCCUCCUCCUCCUCCUCCUCCUCCUCCUCCUCCUCCUCCUCCUCCUCCUCCUCCUCCUUCUCCUUCUCCUCCUUGUUCUCCUCUGACCUCCAGGCCCAAGAGGUCUAUUCUGCUCACCUAUUGGCUGUUGGCUUCUUUAUUAACAAUCAGAAAUAACUUGGGGGGAAGAGUCAUUGGGUUUACACGCAGACCUUGGUCUUGGGGAGCCCACACUCCAGUCUUGGAUACUCACACUUAGCAUUACAACAGAGAGCAAGACCAAAACUUAACAAGCAUGUACACAGCCACCUGCCAUGGGUUGAAGAAGCAGGAAGCUCUCUUCCGGACCAUAUGCUUGCCUUUCAAAUCAUGUGUCAAUUUAAACUCCUUUCUCUUUCAUGUUUAGUCUCAGGUGAUAGCAGUAGAAAGAAUAAGAGAGCCUCCAUCCAGAAACCAGAAUGAGGUGCAUUUCCUGUGUGCUGCAAAAUGCUGGGUCCUGUUUAUGUAUCCAGUCUGUCAGUCUAUGACUUUUUAUUGGUGAAUUGACUCCAUUGAUGUUGAGAGAUAUUAGGGACUAAUGACUGUUGUUUCCUAUUAAUUUUGUUGUUCGAGGUGAAUUAUGUUUGUGUGGCUAUCUUCUUUUUGGUUGUUGAAAGAAGAUUACUUUCUUGCUUUUUCUAGAGAGUAGUUUCCCUCUUUGUGUUGGAGCUUUCCAUCUAUUAUCCUUUGUAGGGCUGGAUUUGUAGAAAGAUAUUGUGUAAAUUUGGUUUUGUGAUGGAAUACCUUGGUUUCUCCUUCUAUGGUAAUUGAGAGUUUUGCUCGAUAUAGUAGCCUGGGGUGGCAUAUGUGUUCUCUUAGGGUCUGCAUGACAUCUGCCCAGGAUCUUCUGGCUUUCAUAGUCUCUGGUGAGAAGUCUGAUGUAAUUCUGAUAGGUCUACCUUUAUAUGUUACUUGACCUUUUUUCCUUACUUCUUUUAAUAUUCUUUCUUUGUUUUGUGCAUUUGGUGUUUUGACUAUUAUAUGACAGGAGGAAUUUCUUUUCUGGUCCAAUCUAUUUGGCUUCUUGUAGGUUUAUGGGCAUCUCUUUCUUUAGGUUAGGGAAGUUUUCUUCUAUAAUUUUGUCAAAGAUGUUUACUGGCCCUUUAAGGUAGGAAUCAUCACUCUCUUCUCUAUUAUCCUUAGGUUUGAUCUUCUCAUUGUGUCCUUGAUUUCCUGAAUGUUUUCGGUGUUUUUGAAUGUUUUCAGUGAAUCUUUUUGUGUUUUGCAUUCUCUUUGACUGUUGUGUCAAUGUUUUCUAUGGAAUCUUCUGCCCCUGAGAUUCUCUCUUCUAUGUCUUGUAUUCUGUUGGUGAUGCUUACAUCUAUGACUCCUGAUCUCUUUCCUAGGUUUUCUAUCUCUAGGGUUGUCUCCCUUUGUGAUUUCUUUAUCAUUUCUUCUUCCAUUUUUAGAUCCUGGAUGGUUUUGUUCAAUUCCUUCACCUGUUUGGUUGUGUUUUCCUACAAUUCUUUAAGGGAUUUUUUGUGUUUUCUCUUUAAGGGCUUCUACCUGUUUACCUGUGUUGUCCUGUAUUGUUGUUCAUGUCCUUCUUAAAGUCCUGUAUCAUCAUCAUGAUUUUAAAUCAGAAUCUUUCUUUUCCAGUGUGUUGAGGUAUCCAGGAAUGACAGCCUUUCCAAUAGUCACAAAUAGUAUAAAAUACCUUAGUGUGACUCUAACCAAGUGAAAGAUCUGUAUGACAAGAACUUCAAGUCUCUGAAGAAAGACUUUGAAGAAGAUCUCAGUAGAUGGAAAGAUCUCCCAUGUUCGUGGAUUGUCAGGAUUAAUAUAGUAAAAAUGGCCAUCUCGACAAAAGCAAUAUACAGAUUUCAUGCAAUCCCCAUCAAAAUUCCAAAUCAAUUCUUCACAAAGUGAGAAAGAGCAAUUUGCAAGUUCAUUUGGAAUAACAAAAAACCCAGGAUAGCGAAAACUAUUCUCAGCAAUAAAAAGAACUUUUGGGGGAAUCACAAUCCCUAACCUCAAGCUGUAUUACAGAGCAAUAGUGAUAAAAACUGCAUGGUAUUGGUACAGAGACAGACAGAUAGACCAAUGGAAUAGAAUUGAAGACCCAGAAAUGAACCCACACACCUAUGGUCACUUGAUCUUUGACAAAGGAGCCAAAACCAUCCAGUGGAAAAAGAUAGUAUUUUCAACAAAUGGUGCUGGUUCAACUGGUGGUCAACAUGUAGAAGAAUGCAAAUUGAUCCAUUCUUAUCUCCUUAUACAAAGCUCAUGUCCAAGUGGAUCAAUGACCUCCACAUAAAGCCGUAUACACUAAAACUAAUAGAAGAAAAACUAGGGAAGCAUCUGGAACACAUGGGCACAGGAGAAAAUUUCCUGAACAGAACACCAAUGGUUUAUGCUCCAAGAUCAAGAAUCGACAAAUGGGAUCUCAUAAAACUGCAAAGCUUCUGUAAGGCAAAGGACACUGUGGUUAGGACAAAAUGGCAACCAACAAAUUGGAAAAAGAUCUUUACCAAUCCUACAACAGAUAGAGGGCUUAUAUCCAAAAUAUACAAAGAACUCAAGAAGUUAGACCACAGAGAGACAAAUAACCCUAUUAAAAAAUGGGGUUCAGAGCUAAACAAAGAAUUCACAGCUGGGGAAUGCCGAAUGGCUGAGAAACACCUAAAGAAAUGUUCAACAUCCUUAGCCAUCAGGGAAAUGCAAAUCAAAACAACCCUGAGAUUUCACCUCACACCAGUGAGAAUGGCUAAGAUCAAAAACUCAGGUGACAGCAGAUGCUGGCGAGGAUGUGGAGAAAGAGGAACACUCCUCCACUGUUGGUGGGAUUGCAGACUGGUACAACCUCUCUGGAAGUCAGUCUGGAGGUUCCUCAGAAAAUUGGACAUAGUACUGCCUGAGGACCCAGCUAUACCACUCCUGGGCAUAUACCCAAAUGGUGAUCCAACAUAUAACAUGGCAUAUGCUCCACUAUGUUCAUAGCAGUCUUAUUUAUAAUAAUCAAAAGCUGGAAAGAACCCAGAUGCCCUUCCACAGAGGAGUGGAUACAGAAAAUGUGUACAUUUACACAAUGGAGUACUACUCAGCUAUCAAAAACAAUGACUUCAUGAAAUUCUCAGGAAAAUGGAUGGAACUAGAAAAUAUCAUCCUGAGUGAGGUAACCCAGACACAAAAGAACACACAUGGUUUGUACUCACUGAUAAGUAGAUAUUAGCCCAAAAGCUUGGAAUAUCCAAGAUACAAUUCACAGGCCAUAUGACACUCAAGAAGAAGGAAAACCAGUGUGGAUGCUUUAGUUCUUCUUAGAAGGGGGAACAAAAAUACUCACAGGAGGAAAUAUGGAGACAAAGUGUGGAGCAGAGACUGAAGGAAAGGCCAUCCAGAGACUGCCCCACCUGGGGGAUCCAUCUCAUAUACAGGCACCAAACCCAGAUACUAUUGCUGAUGCCAAGAAGUGCAUGCUGACAGGAGCCUGAUAUAGCUGUUUCCUGAGAGGCUCUGCCAGAGCCUGACAAAUACAGUGGCGGAUGCUUGCAGCCAAGCAUUGAACUGAGACCGGGGUCCCCAAUGGAGGAGUUAGAGAAAGGACUGAAGGAGCUGAAGGUGUUUGCAACCCCAUAAGAAGAACAACAAUAUCAACCAGCCAGAUACUUUGUGCUCUUUCUGGGAGUCACCACCAAUUGGCAGGACUCUUCCUGGCCAAGCCCUAGAUGCUCUACCUUCCAGAUCUGAAGACUUUUUGACCCAGACCCAAGUCUGAAAGCUGCUAUCUGCACACAAUGUGAGCGACUCCUCUGUGAAGUCCCUUCUACCAGUGAACACUGAUGCAUGCUGGGAAAUUCAAACCUCAAUCAAAUGUGAACUUUUUAGCCUUUCCCCUUUCUCCAUAGAUGGGUGGCUCAGCAGUCACAACAGAUAAGACAGGUGUGGGUGAAGCAUAUCACUACCCACUCCCGAUCCCCCCACCAACCCAAGACAAUGUCAGCACAGAUGGACUCCUGGCACUGACACUCCCACAGGCUGUUCUGCCUUGGGCAAAUCAUGCAAUCUCUCUGGCCCUCAGUUUUCUCCGAAAAAUAGAUCAGAGAGGGCUGUUCUUUAAUCUCAUGUCUUUAACCCCACCACUGGAAGGCAGAGAGGCAGAAGGAUAUCUCUGAGUUCAAGGCCAGCCUCAUCUACAGAGUGAGAGAGUUUCAGAAGCAAUGUACCUCUGAAACAAGCCAAUCAGCAGAGAAGAAACAAAAGCAACAUGGCGUCUUCUACCUCCAGCCUCGCAGCGUCCCAGAGCCCCUCUGCAAUGAUGUCUUAGUGAAAAGCCAGCCAUUCAGACAGAUAUCAGUGAAAUUGCGCUGUGGUUUGAAUUUGGAUUUUCCUGAUAAACGCCGUGAAGCGUUUUCACGAACCUGGUCACUUGUGUCUUUUUGGAGAAACUUCUACUCAGUGACUGCAAGCUACAUCUUGUCCACAGGAAGAGGAGGCAACAGGGUUGCUGCACCCAUGAGAAGGUAUGAAGGAACUCCUGAGGCCACAAUGCAUGGAAGCUUCUAGAAGAGGCCUCCCUAGUCAAGAAGCAGAGCAGCGAAUGAGCCAAAAGUCAUGGUCCAGCCUCCUCUUUAUUUGCUGCUAACCCUUGUCUAAGUGCUCUCUUAACUGCAGUCCUAAAAGUUGGGUAUGGACAGGAGAUAAGAGUGGCUCAGGCCUCUCUGUUUCCAUAUGGGUGAUAUCUACAUGCUUAGCGCCCGCUGUCCCAGACAGUGUUCAAGACCACUGAGUUGCAGGUUGGAGAGAUGGCUUACUGGAUGCUCUUCCAGAAGUCUCAAGUUUAAUUCUUUUUGUAAAUAUUUAUUUAUUUUAUUCAUAUGAGUACAAUUUAUUCAAUGAGUACAAUGUAGCUGUCUUCAGAUACACCAGGAGAGGUCAUCGGAUCCCAUGACAGAUGGUUGUGAGCCACCACGUGGUUGCUGGGAAUUGAACUCAGGACCUCUGGGAGAGCAAGCAGUGCUCUUAACCACUGAACCAUUUCUCAAGCCCCUGGGUUCAAGCUUAGCACCCACAUAGCAGAUCAAAUUUAUCUAUUACUGUAGUCCCAUAGGAUCUGAUGCUGUCCUGGUGUGCAGGCAUACAUGCUGACAAAAUACCCAUAUUCAUAAAUACAUAAAUACAUCUUAAAGGAAAUAAAAAACCACUGAGUCACAUUUCCUGCAUGGAGUCAGGAAAAUCCCCCCUCGGUACCCACCUCCUCAUACACUGAAGAGUAUGUGCAGGCCGAGCGCAUGUGAGAUACAUGUUCUCACCUACAUUCCUUCUGUGAGGGAACUGAGGUAGAGAAGUCAAAUGACCCACUUACUGGCUUGAGCAAGACCCUGUGUGACACGCUUUUUAAAACAGGCUCUCAAAAAAAAAUACUGUAUUUCUUUGAAAGUAGAUUCUUUUCCCAUGUAAUGCAUCCUGGUUACAGCUUUCUGUCCUUCUACUCCUUGAAGUUCCUCCCCAUUUUCCUGUCCAUCCAGGACCACCCCUUUCUGUCUCUCAUUAGAAAAGAACAGGAUGCUAAGAGAGAAUAGUAAAAUAUAACAAUAAAAUAUAAUAAGAUAAAACAAAGACUAUCACAUUGAAGUUGGACAGGACAAACUGACAGAAGGAAAAGAGCCCAAGAGAAGAUACAAGAAUCAGAGACCCACUUGCUUGCACACAGGAGUCCCAUAAAAACACUAAACUGGAAGCCAUAAUGUACACACAGAGGAUCUGGUGCAGACCCUGUCAGCGCUGUGCAUGUUCCCUCAGUGUGUGACUUCAUAUGAGCUUUGCUCUUGCUAAUUUAGAGGGUCUUGUUCUGGUCUCCCUCCUCUGCCCCAUCUGUCUCCCCCAAUCCUUUUUCCUUCUACUCUAUAGGGUUACCUGAACUCCAAGGGGGAGAGAUUUGAUUGAGAGCUGAAUGUUCCAAGGUCUCACUGUGUGUUUAGUGUCUGGCUGUGGGUCUCUGAAUUUGUUCUCAUCUACUGCAGGAAGCUUCUCUGAUGAUGGCUGUGUGAGACUCUGAUCUCUGAGUACAGCAGAAUGUCAUUAGUAGUCACGUCAUCACUACUUGUUGUGGUCAUUAUUUUGUUUGUUUUAAGACCAGUAGUAACUGAUUUUACCCUAGGUCCCUAAAGUAUCUGGUUCUUGGUCACCCAAGUAGGUAUGAGCUCCAUCUUGUGGAGUGGCCUUAAGUCAAAUCAGACAUUGAUUGGUCACUCCCAUGAGCUUUGGUGCCACCCUGCCCUGUCAUAUCCUGCAGGCAGGACACCAUUGUAGAUCAAAGGGUUUGUGACUGGCCUGCUGUUUACAUUUCUCCUUUGGUAGCAUACAGAAUACCUUCGUGUACCAAAACACUAGGAUGUAGGGAUGAAGGCUCUAUGCAGACACCAGCUUGAGUUCUCCAUGUUCAUUGGGUUGUGUGGGCACUGUCUUCAGCAAUGGGGCCUUGCUCUUAGUUUGUGGAGAGCAUCCUACUUUCUUGACAGCAGACUGAGUUGUUUUGAGGUUCCCAUGAUAUCCCUCUGGCUAACAACUCAAUUAGAUGUAACCCAAUCUCAGUACUGAAAGCUUCAUUUAGUGACAAGAGAUGGCCAGUUGGGACUCCACCUUCCCUAUUCUUUGGCAAUUUCAUUUAGAUCACCUUCAUACAUGUACAUAGAUUUUAGGAAGCUCCCAUUGCAGUAGGUUUCCACACUACCCCUCAAGUGACCAUUAAUUUUAGCUCUUAUUGUCUCCCUCAACCUCCUCUCCACAAACUCCCCACUUGAUCCUCCCAUUCCAGCCACUCUGCAACCCAUCCACAAUUAUCUACUUUAUUUUCCUUUAAAAGGGCAUGCUUUUAAAUUUUGAAAAGUUUGGAAAGUAAAAACUUUGCAUGCGGGGAUGGGGAUUUAGCUCAGUGGUAGAGCGCUUGCCUAGGAAGCCCUGGGUUCGGUCCCCAGCUCCGAAAAAAAGAACAAAAAAAAAAACAAAAACAAAAACAAAAACAAACAAACAAACAAACCAAAAAAAAAACUUUGCAUGCCUCUUUAAAGGAAUACAUGCAGUGAGAAGAUCUAUCCUUCCUGUUCUUCCAGGAAGGGCUCCAUACAGUGUGGUGCUCUGAGCCUUUAUUUCCUCACUUAGCUUUCCUAGCUUUGAGAUGAGGCCUUGCUGCCUUUGCACUGCUGUAUGGAAUUCUAUUAUAUAAACAACAUGCCUUAACUCUGGGCGCAAAUGGAGACCGGAAGGGUUCUGACCCAGACUGCACCACGGUUCAUGUGCUGUGUGCUCCUGGCAGGUCCCUCUUUGGACAGUUAGUGGAGCAAAAGUGGGAUCUCAACUGUGGGUUUAGGAGUGAGAGCAGUCCUGGGAGACCAACUCUCUCUGGGCAGGUUUUGGGUUCGAAAGGCUGUGCCAAGCUCUGGGCACAGAUGGAGACUGGAAGGGUCCAGUCUGUAAAAGAAUGCAAAUAGAUCCAUUCUUAUCUCCUUGUACAAAGUUCAAGUCCAAGUGGAUCAAGGGCCUCCACAUAAAAUCAGAUAUACUGAAACUAAUAGAAGAAAAAGUGGGGAAGAGCCUCGAACAUAUAGGCACAGGGGAAAUUUUCCUGAACAGAACACCAAUAGCUUAGGCUCUAAGAUCAAGAAUAGACAAAUGGGGCGGGGGGGGGUGGCUGGAGAGAUGGCUCAGUGGUUAAGAGCACUGACUGCUUUUCCUGAGGUCCUGAGUUCAAAUCCCAGCACACACAUGGUGGCUCACAACCAUCUGUAAAGAGAUCUGAUGCCCUCUUCUGGUGUGUCUGAAGGCAGCUACAGUGUACUCAUAUAUAAUAAAAUAAAAUCUUAAAAAAUAAAUUUAUAAAAAAAAAAGAAUAGACAAAUGGGACCUCAUCAAAUUGCAAAGCUUCUGUAAGACAAAGGACACAAAGGACACUGCCAUUAGGACAAAAUGGCAACCAACAGAUUGGGAAAAGAUCUUUACCAAUCCUAUAUCUGAUAGAGGGUUAAUAUCCAAUAUAUACAAAACACUCAAGAAGUUAGACUCCAGAGAACCAAAUAAUCCUAUUAAAAAUGGGGUACAGAGCUAAACAAAAAAUUUUCAGCUGAAGAAUACCAAAUGGCUCAGAAGUACCUAAAGAAAUGCUCAACAUCCUUAGUUAUCAGGGAAAUGCAAAUCAAAACAACCCUGAGAUUCCUCCUCAAACCAGUCAGAAUGACUAAGAUCAAAAACUCAGGUGACAGCAGAUGCUGGCGAGGAUGUGGAGAAAGAGGAACGCUCCUCCACUGUUGGUGGGAUUGCAGACUGGUACAACCAUUCUGGAAAUCAGUCUGGAGGUUCCUCAGAAAAUUGGACAUUGAACUGCCUGAGGACCCAGAUACACCACUCCUGGGAUUAUACCCAAAAGAUGCUCCAACAUAUAACAAGGACACAUGCUCCACUGUGUUCACAUCAGCCUUUUUUAUAAUAGCUCCAGAUGUCCUUCAAGAGAAGAAUGGACACAGAAAAUGUAGUACAUCUACACAAUGGAGUACUACUCAGCUUCUAAAAACAAUGAUUACAUCAAAUUCUUAGGCAAAUGGAUGGAACUAGAAAAUAUCAUCCUGAGUGAGGUAACCCAGUCACAAAAGAACACACAUGCUGUGCACUCACUGAUGAGUGGGUAUUAGCCCAAAGCUCAGAACACCCAAGACACAAUCCACAGACCACACGAAGAAGGAAGACCAAAGUGUGGUGCUUCAGACCUUCUCAGAAGGGAGAACAAAGUACUAACGGGAGGAAAUACAGGGACACAGAGUGGAGCAGGGACUGAAGGAAAGGCCACCUGGGAUCCAUCCCACAUGCAGCCACCAAACCCAGUGACUACUGCUGAUGCUAAGAAGUGCUUGCUGACAGCUUGAUAUGAAUGUCUCCUGAGAGACUCUUCCAGAGCCCUACUGAUACAGAUGAGGUUGCUUGCAGCUAACCAGACUGUGCAGGAGUCUCCCAAUGGAGGAGUUAGAGAAAAGACCAAAGGAUUUGAAGGGGUGUUCAACACCAUAGGAAAAACAAUAUCAACCAACCAGACCCCCCAGCCUGCCCAGGGACCAAACCACCAACCAAAGAGUGCACACAGAGGGACCAAUGGCUCCAACUGCAUGUGUAGUAAAGAAUGGCAUUGUCCGGCAUCAAUAAGAGGAGAAGCCCUGGGUCCUGGGAAGGAUUGUUUCCCCAGUGUAGGGAGUGCCAGGGUGUUGAGGUGGGAGUGGAAACAUCUUCAUAGAGGCAGGGGGAGGGGAAGCCAGGAUAGGAGAGGGAGGAAGGGGAUAACAUUUGAAAUGUAAAUACAUAAAAUAUCCAAUAAAAAUAAAGAAAACUGUGAGUCCUUUUCUGUUAUUCUGUGUGACACUGUGGAGGAACUAGGACUGAAGCUGAGGACCUUACAGGGUCAAGGUGAGCAUUCCCCCCUGAGCCAUAUCCCCAGCACUCUGCAAUGUCAAAAUCAAAUUUUUUAAAUAAAAUUUUUUAAAGUUUUAUUUAUUUUUAUUUAUAUGAGCACACUGUAACUGUCUUCAGACAUACCAGAAGAGGACAUCAGAUCUCAUUAUAGAUAGUUGUGAGCCACCAUGUGGUUGCUGGGAUUUGAACUCAUGACCUCUGGAAGUGCUCUUAACUACUGAGCCAUCUCUCCAGCCCCAAAAAUAAAUUUUUAAAAAAUUAGACAACAUGCCACUUAUUGAAGGGACACUCUCCUGAGGAGGGCUAUGCUAUCCUCAGUCUUUUGAUUUUUGACAUUGCAGAGUGCUGGGGAUAUGUUCCCUCUAGGAGACAGAGAAGGACUGGAAAGGAAGCCUUUUUCUCAUUUAUCAUACAUGCAAGUUUGUUAUCCAGUUAAGUUAAUGCUUCUGACUGCAGACAAACCAAAGCAUAUGGGGAAGAAAUUAAUCCAUGAACCCAGAACCUGGAUGACUCUGUGAUGAGUAUAUCAGCUGCCAGACUAUUCCAAGCCCAGGAGUCUCUGCUUUCUAAUGUGUCCAUUGAAUGAGAAUCUGGACACAGUAAGUGCACUUUAAGGCCACAGCUUGACGGGUGUGAGGGAACAGGUGCAUUUCACACGCCUGUUUCUAUUUCUGUCAGACACAUGAGCACAGGUGCCCACAGAAGCCAGAAGAGGGCAUUGGAUCCCCUGGGGCUGGAGAUGUACAGGGAUAUAAGCAGCCCAAGAUGGGUGCCUGGUCCUUCUUUUUGUUUUUUUUGUUUUUUUUUUUUUUUUGGUUCUUUUUUUCGGAGCUGGGGACCGAACCCAGGGCCUUGCGCUUCCUAGGUAAGCGCUCUACCACUGAGCUAAAUCCCCAGCCCUGUGCCUGGUCAUUCUUAAGAGCAAUGUGCACUCUUACCAGUGAGCCAUCUCUCCAGCCCUGAUACUAAUGUAUGUUAGGCCUAGCCAGGCCUAGCAGUGGUGCUCCAUGGACACUUGGUGGAAAGAGAACUAGCAGAAAGAGGGGUAUGCAAGGAUGGGACUCGGAUGACUCCUAACAGGGUCUUUGGGCGAAGGAAGAGGACAGCUCUGCUGUGUUUGAAGGGGAGGGGUUGUACUGGUUUAGACAGAGUCUCCUGUCACCGAGGAUGCCCCUGAACUUCUGGUCCUCCUGCCUCUACUUCCCAGGUGCUGAGAAUGCAGGCAUGUGCCAUUAGGCAUGGCGUAUGUACUGCUAGAGAUCAAGUCCAUGGCCAUUUGUCAACUACUUUACCCACUGAGCUACAUCACUAGCCAGGACUAGAGCUAGGAUUACAGACCUAUGUCGCCAUGCCCAACUAUGUCAUGAUUUAAUUUUAAUUUAUUAUUUUUAAAAAUAUGUAUAUGGCUGGAUCCCCUGAAGCUGAAAUCAUAAGCUGCCUUUGGAUCAAGAUGUAGAACUCUUGGCCCCUCCAGAACCAAGUCAGCCUGCAGGCUGCCAUGCUUCCCGCCAUGACAGGAAUGGACUGAAGCUCUGAAACUGUGAGCUAGCUCCAAUGAAGUAAAGCCAGUCUGUAUAAGAGUUCUAAGGCUCGCUUCAAACCACCUGCCUCUGCCUCCCAGUGCUGGGAUUGCAGGGGUACCUACUUCAUCAUGCUUGAUUUAUUACAAAAUUUAACUUAAAUUAAUCAAUUUAUUAAAUAAAUACAAUUUAAUUAAUUUAAUUUAAAAUCUAAAGCCAGUUCAUAAUCUGAGCACUUGCUGGGUUUGAAAUACAGGGUUGAAAUGUCCCACUGUUCAUAGUUGUUCCCAGUUUGGCCAUACCAGUUCCUGAUUGAUUCUCAGCCCACACCAGAGACAUCCACCCUCACUAGAAAGAGACAAUCAGACCUUGGGUCAAGCUGGGGCUAGGGAACAGGGAUGGAGUCACAUUUGAGCCAAGCCUGAAACUCCCAGACAAGUGGCCAAAGAAUCUGACUAGCAACAUUCAAACUCCAGGAGCCCCAGUGUAAGAGAACUUUGGGGUCUUCAGGCAGAGAGGCAGACUUCUGUAGCCAGACUCAGCAGCAGACCCCAGUCACUCAGCAACAUAUGCCAAACCUUAGUUCCUGCCCCUGUACGAAGCAGUUGGCCAUGUCACCACCCACAGGUCUAUGAGGAUUGUCCUGAACCGAAGGGGUCCUCAGCCCUCCCUCAAGUCCCGUCUUCCCUUUAGCACUUUCUUCACAAAGAGGAAAAAAUUACACCUGCUAGGAUGAAGGCAACGUGACUGAGGGAGAGGAGCAACUGUAAGUAGUAUCUCGUGCCAGCCUGCAGGGUCAGGAAGGUCUGUGCCUGGAGUCGUCCCAGAUAUGCUGUUGUGGGCCCCCACUUAUUCAGCUCCUUCGUGUGCCUGCCCCACCCAGGGCUGGCCACAUUGCAUCUUGGCCUUCCACUGUUCACAUGGAGUACCAAAUCACUGAGAACCUUGGUGGAUGGGUCACGAUGGAAGGAAGCAGGUCCACCCAGGCACGGGCAGUCAAAAAGUGCUCCAGGAAGCCCUCCCCACCCCUACACAUCCAAGGUAGAAGGUGCAGAGCAGGGGUGCCCCCAGGGUGAGGUAGGCGGCCUAUAAUCACCACAGAUGACAACCUAGGCUACUUUUGAUGUUGCCGUUUAUGCAAAUUCUGACCCAGACAGGAAGAGGUUUUGCGCCAGGCAAAACAUCAGCACAGACGGCAAAGGCUGAAGAUGCUUGGGAAAGAAGGCUGACCUAUAUGAACUCACUGAGAGAAAGCCAGCUGGUCAAUGAGCACACAAGCUAGUAUGUCCCUCCUUAAUCUGUAGUCACUGUGAGGGGUCAAGAUGUCAACACUGCAAACUCUGCUAUAUCUUCUAAGUCCCCACCUCAGCCUCGGGUGUCAUCCCUAAUGCUGCAAACCUAUGUCCCCAUAGGGUGUGCGCUCCCAGCUGGAAAUGCAGACUGCGCAUGUUAAUGCCUGCCAGGGAAAUACUCUACCAUUGCUCCAUGCCUCCAACCCAGAGCCUGGGCCUUUAAAAGCAGAUUCAUCACCAUCUAGCCAACCCUUUCAGGUUGGGCCAUUUGCUAUUUCCCUCAUAGCUGUUACCACUUUGUCUCAAGACCACUCACUCUUUCUGGUAUGUUCUCUCUCUCUAGUACAGGAACCCAACAAACAGUUUGUCUCUGUCCUACAGGAAUCUAUCCCUCAAGAGUUCACCUCAGAAGUCAGCUGCACAGAGAGGACUCCCCACAAACAUCCCAAGACUCUCCCUUUGCCGUUUAUGCCUUAUUCUGUUUCCUUCUAGAACUCAUGUCUGGUUCCCACAAAGUUACCCUUUUUUCUUUAUGAUGGUGAGGGCAGAGUGAGGUGUGCAGACCAUGAUGAGUAUGUAGAUGUCGGAGGACAACUUGCAGGACUCUGUUCCCUCCUCCCACUCUAUGAGUUCUCUGUACUGAACUCAGUCUUGGCAGCAUAUGAUAUGAGCCACUUCACCAGCCCAAUGUGCCAUAUGUAUACCAUAUGUAUAAACAUGGGGGUAAAGGCUAGCCCUUCCUCCUGUUGGGAUUACAGGGAUGCGCACCGCAUUGACUACUUGAAUUCAUCUUCGUCUAUUCCUAACUCUCUACCUUCACCCACGAUGUACGAGCUUCCAGAAGCAGGGCUUCAUCACCCAUGCCCCAUGUCACUGCUGUUAGGAGGAUCAAUUUUUUUUGGAGGACCUUAAGAUUUUUCUAGAAAUGCACACAAGAAGAAAGCAUUUUCUAAGAAAAACUGCCUCCAUUGCUGCCCUGCCCAUGUACCCUCGAUGGCAGACCUGGUUAACUUCGAGUGUCCUGUACCUGCUGCCAGACUCGGCUGAAUGUAGUUCUCAGUUGCAGAGGAUUCUUCUGGGUCAUUCCCUGGGCCAGGCCUCUCUGCAGAGCCCAGGCCCAGAGCCCUGAGCUGCCCUAAACGCAUCGCUUUGAAGACAUCUGCAGCAGAGUCUCUGCACUUUUCAGAGGAGGGGGUAGGGAGGCUCAUGCACUCCUGCUGCCUUGGCUCUGAAUCAAAGCUCUGCCCUUCAGGUACAAUGGGUCAAGAGAGGAGAGAAGAGGAGAGGAGAGAGGAGAGAGGAGAGGAGAGAGGAGAGAGGAGAGAGGAGAGAGGAGAGAGAGGAGAGGAGAGGAGAGGAGAGGAGAGAGGAGAGGAGAGGAGAGAGGAGAGGAGAGGAGAGAGGAGAGGGGAGGAGAGGAGGAGAGGAGAGAGGAGAGGAGGAGAGGAGAGAGGAGAGGAGGAGAGGAGAGGGGAGAGGAAAAAGCGGGGGGGC